AUUGAACGCUGGCGGCAUGCCUUACACAUGCAAGUCGAACGGCAGCACGGGAGCAAUCCUGGUGGCGAGUGGCGAACGGGUGAGUAAUAUAUCGGAACGUGCCCAGUCGUGGGGGAUAACGUAGCGAAAGCUACGCUAAUACCGCAUACGAUCUAUGGAUGAAAGCGGGGAGUCGCAAGACCUCGCGCGAUUGGAGCGGCCGAUAUCAGAUUAGGUAGUUGGUGGGUAAAAGCCUACCAAGCCUUCGAUCUGUAGCUGGUCUGAGAGGAUGAUCAGCCACAUUGGGACUGAGACACGGCCCAAACUCCUACGGGAGGCAGCAGUGGGGGAAUCUUGCGCAAUGGGCGAAAGCCUGACGCAGCCAUGCCGCGUGAAUGAUGAAGGUCUUAGGAUUGUAAAAUUCUUUCACCGGGGACGAUAAUGACGGUACCCGGAGAAGAAGCCCCGGCUAACUUCGUGCCAGCAGCCG
rnacentral:rRNA from 1 species